rnacentral:lncRNA from 1 species
UAUGGAAACAAGAGUGCACACGCUGAAAUGUCUCGCCUUCUAUACUAAUCAUUGAUAUUAUGUUGAUAGUCCUAAGUAUAAAGCUUAGUUUUAUUACAACUGUCUCAUAAACUUAACUUUAACCAAGAUAACUAAACAAAGACCAAUGAACCUUGAAAAUGAGGUCAAGGUCAGAUGAACCAUGCCAGGCAGACAUGUACAGCUAACAAUGCUUCUAUACAACAUAUAUAGUUGACCCACUACUUAUAGUUUAAGAAAAAUAGAC